rnacentral:rRNA from 1 species
AUUGAACGCUGGCGGCAGGCCUAACACAUGCAAGUCGAGCGAGCGGCGGACGGGUGAGUAAUGUCUGGGAAACUGCCUGAUGGAGGGGGAUAACUACUGGAAACGGUAGCUAAUACCGCAUACUAUCAGAUCUGCCCAGAUGGGAUUAGCUAGUAGGUGGGGUAACGGCUCACCUAGGCUACGAUCCCUAGCUUGUCUGAGAGGAUGACCAGCCACACUGGAACUGAGACACGGUCCAGACUCCUACGGGAGGCAGCAGUGGGGAAUAUUGCGCAAUGGGCGCAAGCCUGAUGGAGCAAUGCCGCGUGUGUGAAGAAGGCCUUCGGGUUGUAAAGCACUUUCAGCAGGGAAGCGUUACCCGCAGAAGAAGCACCGGCUAACUCCGUGCCAGCAGCCGCGGUAAUAC